UGUCUAAGUAUAAGCAACUAUACCGUGAAACUGCGAAUGGCUCAUUAAAUCAGUUAUCGUUUAUUUGAUAGUACCUUACUACUUGGAUAACCGUGGUAAUUCUAGAGCUAAUACAUGCUAAAAACCUCGACUUUGGAAGGGGUGUAUUUAUUAGAUAAAAAACCAAUGCCCUUCGGGGCUCAGUGGUGAUUCAUAAUAACUUAACGAAUCGCAUGGCCUUGUGCCGGCGAUGGUUCAUUCAAAUUUCUGCCCUAUCAACUUUCGAUUGUUGGGUCUUGGCCAACAAUGGUUUCAACGGGUAACGGGGAAUUAGGUAAGCACUUUCUAAACUUUAGGGCGGGACGCAUAGCUAACAGCAGUCAUAGGGUUCUAUUCCGGAGAGGGAGCCUGAGAAACGGCGUAAGUGUAGCUGUUAUUCUUUAUACAAUUGACUUUUCACUAACAAGCUAUGUAGUACCACAUCCAAGGAAGGCAGCAGGCGCGCAAAUUACCCAAUCCUGAUUCAGGGAGGUAGUGACAAUAAAUACUGAUACAGGGCUCUUUUGGGUCUUGUAAUUGGAAUGAGUACAAUUUAAAUCCCUUAACGAGGAACAAUUGGAGGGCAAGUCUGGUGCCAGCAGCCGCGGUAAUUCCAGCUCCAAUAGCGUAUAUUAAAGUUGUUGCAGUUAAAAAGCUCGUAGUUGAACCUUGGGCCUGGCUGGCCGGUCCGCCUCACCGCGUGCACUGGUCCGGCCGGGCCUUUCCUCCUGGGGAGCCGCAUGCCCUUCACUGGGUGUGUCGGGGAACCAGGACUUUUACUUUGAAAAAAUUAGAGUGUUCAAAGCAGGCCUAUGCUCGAAUACAUUAGCAUGGAAUAAUAGAAUAGGACGUGUGGUUCUAUUUUGUUGGUUUCUAGGACCGCCGUAAUGAUUAAUAGGGACAGCCGGGGAAAUCAGUAUUUAAUUGUCAGAGGUGAAAUUCUUGGAUUUAUUAAAGACUAACUACUGCGAAAGCAUUUUUCAAGAAUGUUUUCAUUAAUCAGUGAACGAAAGUUAGGGGAUCGAAGACGAUCAGAUACCGUCGUAGUCUUAACCAUAAACUAUGCCGACUAGGGAUCGGGCGAUGUUAUCUUUUUGACUCGCUCGGCACCUUACGAGAAAUCAAAGUCUUUGGGUUCUGGGGGAGUA
rnacentral:rRNA from 1 species